GUAAAAGUAUAAAUUUCCGCCAUGUCUUCAAAACGGCAUCAGUCUUUUUAGUGACUCUUUACGGAACAGAAUUCAAGACAAGACAUUCACCAUGAAUUUGGUUAAAUACACAUUUUUCUUCGUCGUAUUGUUGAUGAUACUUGGGUGCAGUUUGGUUGAUGCUGACAAAAAGGAUAAAAAAGAAAAGAAUAAUAAAGGAAAUGGUGGCUUCGGAAUACAAUCAAUUACAAAUAUGUUCAAGAAUGGCUGGUCAAAAAUUAGAGGCGGAAAUAAAAAAAAUCAUCAAAAACUAAAUGAACAACAAAACUAUCAACAGCCGAAUUAUCAGCAACGCUAUGGGCAACAGAACGGUCCACAGAACGGUUAUAACAAUCAACCGGGAAACCAUCAUUAGAAGAAUUGUUUUGCAAUCAUAUUCAAAGCCAAUAUUAAAUGUAUUAAUGAAUCCUUCAUACUAAAAUUGACAAUAAAAAACAGCUGGUGUCUGUA